UACGUAGGGGGCUAGCGUUGUCCGGAAUCAUUGGGCGUAAAGAGCGCGUAGGCGGCUAGAUAAGUCCGGUGUGAAAGUCACAGGCUCAACCUGUGAAUGCCGCUGGAAACUGUCUGGCUAGAGUCCGGAAGGGGCGAGUGGAAUUCCUGGUGUAGCGGUGAAAUGCGCAGAUAUCGGGAGGAACACCAAUGGCGAAGGCAGCUCGCUGGGACGGUACUGACGCUGAGGCGCGAAAGCGUGGGGAGCAAACAGG
rnacentral:rRNA from 1 species